rnacentral:rRNA from 1 species
UCAGGCCUAACACAUGCAAGUCGAACGGCAGCACGGACUUCGGUCUGGUGGCGAGUGGCGAACGGGUGAGUAAUGUAUCGGAACGUGCCUAGUAGCGGGGGAUAACUACUCGAAAGAGUAGCUAAUACCGCAUACGCCCUACGGGGGAAAGGGGGGGAUCGCAAGACCUCUCACUAUUAGAGCGGCCGAUAUCGGAUUAGCUAGUUGGUGAGGUAAAGGCUCACCAAGGCGACGAUCCGUAGCUGGUUUGAGAGGACGACCAGCCACACUGGGACUGAGACACGGCCCAGACUCCUACGGGAGGCAGCAGUGGGGAAUUUUGGACAAUGGGGGCAACCCUGAUCCAGCCAUUCCGCGUGUGCGAUGAAGGCCUUCGGGUUGUAAAGCAAGGUGGCAGGAAAGAAAUCGCACGGGUUAAUAACCCGUG